AUGGGUCCAGAGAUAAACGACUUCAGGUGUGACCAUGAGCGUCAAGGCUGGGAAAGCAGACUUGAAAAGUUUCACCUAAGGGAUCUUGAUUUUCAGACUCUGGAGGGCUUAGAUAACAGGUUCUGGGCUUGUGCUCUCAAGGGAGGCCCCUCUGUAAGCCUGUGCUAUGUGAUUUGCCAGAAAAACAACAAACUACCAGUUAAUCAUCUGCAUAUGUGGCCCAUGUACUGCUGGCCCCCGGGAAUGCAUUCUCUUUCCGUCUCCCAACAUGGCGCCUCAGCAAAAAAGAAGAACAAGAAUGGGAAAACUAUCUCCCUAACAGACUUUCUGGCUGAGGAUGGGAGUACUGGUGGAGGAAGCACCUAUGUUUCCAAACCAGUCAGCCGGGCUGAUGAAACGGAUGAUCUGGAAGGAGAAUUUCAACAACUCGGCACAGUAAUGACGAUGAUGCACAUAGGGCGCCUCCAACUGACCGUUCCAUCCUUCCCACUGCUCCACGGGCUGCUCGGGAACCCAGCAUCGACCGGAGCCGUCUUCCCAAAUCGCCAACCAACACUGCUUUCCUGGGGAACCUCCCCUAUGAUGUUAUAGAAGAGUCAGUCAGGGAAUGCUUCAGAGGAUUAAACAUCAGUGCAGUGCAUUUACCACGUGAACCCAGCAAUCCAGAGAGGUGGAAAGGUUUGGGUUAUGCUGCAUUUGAGGACCUGGAUUCCCUGCUCAGUGCCCUGAGUCUCAGUGAAGAGUCUUUAGGUAACAGGAGAAUUCGAGUGGACGCUGCUGAUCAAGCAGAGGAUAAAGACAGGGAUGAUCGUUCUUUUGGCCGUGAUGGAAAUCGGGAUUCUGACAAAACAGAUACAGACUGGAGGGCUCGUUCUGCCACAGACAGCUUUGAUGACUACUCGCCCAGAAGAGGUGAUGAUAGCUUUGGAGACAAGUGUCGAGAUGGUUAUGAUUCAGACCAGUAUGGCGAUGGGGAUCGGGAUGGGGACCGGGAUGGCCCACGCCGGGAAAUGGAUUGAUGCGGUGGCCGGGGUCGCUGUGGUGAUCGAGGCAGCAGAGACUCUGACAGAGGCUGUGAUUCCCGGACAGGCAGUGGCGGAAGAGCAUUUGGCCGUGGGUACCGCAGGGAUGAUGACUGCGGAGGACGCGGGGACCGCUAUGCAAAGACCGAUACGACAGACAGGAUGAUGAGUCGUGGAGCUCCAGAGAUGAGAUGAUUACUCUCGGGAUGAUUAUAGGCGUGAUGAUAGAGGUCCCCCCGCCAAAGACCCAAACUGAAUCCAACGCCUCCGAGGACUCCUAAGGAAGAUGAUUCCUCUGCUGGUACCUCCCAGUGCAGUCCAGCUGCUUCUAUCUUUGGAGGGGCAAAGCCCGUUGACACAGCUGCUAGAGAAAGAGAAAUAGAAGAACCGCUACAGAAGGAGCGAAAGAAGUUGCAGGGUCAGCUGGAUGAGCCAAAACCAGAACGACGGCCGGGGAGAGACACCCAAGCUGGCGAAGUGAAGAAACUCAGGCACGGGAACGGUCGAGGACAGGAAGUGAGUCAUCGCAGACCGGGACCUCCGCCACAUCUGGCAGAAAUGCACGAAGGAGAGAGAGUGAGAAGUCCCUAGAAAAUGAAACACUCAAUAAGGAGGAAGAUUGUCACUCUCCAACUUCUAAACCUCCCAAACCUGAUCAGCCCCUAAAGGUAAUGCCAGCCCCUCCACCAAAGGAGAAUGCUUGGGUAAAGCGAAGUUCUAACCCUCCUGCUCCAUCUCAGAGCUCAGACACAGAGCAGCAGUCCCCUGCAAGUGGUGGUGGAAAAGUAGCUCCGGCUCAACCAUCUGAGGAAGGACCAACAAGGAAAGAUGAAAAUAAAGUAGAUGGGAUGAAUGUUCCAAAAGGCCAAACUGGGAACUCUAGCUGUGGUCCAGGAGAUGGAGGGAACAAAAACCGCUGGAAGGAGUCAGAUAGGAAAGAUGGCAAAAAGGAUCAAGACUCCAGAUCUGCACCUGAGCCAAAGAAACCUCAGGAAAACCCAGCUUCCAAGUUCUGUUCUGCAAGCAAGUAUGCUGCUGUCUCUGUUGAUGGUGAAGAUGAAAAUGAGGGAGAAGAUUACACCGAAUAGACCUCUACAUCCUGUGCUUUCUCCUAGUUUUUCUCCACCCUGGAACAUUCGAGAGCAAAUCAAACCUCUAUCCAGACAAGAAAAAAUAAAACUCACCAU